GAGCUCUCCUUGUCCAUAGGAGGCGUGUUCCACAUCUUUCUUCUCUUCCCCAAGCCGAAGGGAAGAAACCCUUUCUCCUCUCUUCUCCAGCCAGCCUACUCCCUCCUCCCUUCCUUCCCCACUCCUCCCCAGGUGCCUCCUUGCUGCACCACGCCCUUCACCACCUCCAUGGUUGCCCUUUGAUUUAGGGCUUUGAGGAAGAAGGAAAGGAGACAAGAAGAGGGGGAACAAGAAAGCUUCCCCAACUUUUCCCUUCACCAAAUCUUUGUGUUUUGACCAUAGAGGUUGCAGCACCAAUCCAACGGAGAUAGCCUCGCACCACCUCCCUCGCAACGAUUGAGGCGAGUACACCGGGCAACAAGGGCUAGAUUGCUCCCUUAAUGUUAUGUUCAUGUUCACAUUAUUCCUUUACAUUCAUGCAAUGCAGGUUGCAGCACCAAUCCACCGGAGAUAGCCUCGCACCACCUCCCUCGCAACGAUUGAGGCGAGUACACCGGGCAACAAGGGCUAGAUUGCUCCCUUAAUGUACAUCACCGUGAGGCUUUGCAAGUAUUAGGAAGGGCGUAGCUCCCAUGGGUGUCCACUCACACUUUUCAUACCCAUUCCAUCCACCUAGCUGAUCAUGGUAACUCUCAUACUUAGUUCAUGAUUCUUGGUAGCUAGGAUCUACUUGAGGUGUAUAAACUUUGCCUUGGUUUGUUUCCAUGAUCAAUAUGUUGACCUGUCAAGGUGGGUUGGAGUUGACUAGUCCCCACCUUGCACCAUGGUGUGUUGGAACGUAUGUUUCCUUUUGCUAUGUGUAGCAUAACGGUUGGUGGCUUCACCACUUUGCUCUACAUGGGUUGUAGGAGCCUGUUGGAUGCUUCUGCUUGUGAUAUUAUGAAUAUAUGCUCUGUUUAUUCA